rnacentral:lncRNA from 1 species
CUCCGCUCCGGGCCGCUCCGCUCUGGGCGUCAGGGCGCGGGGAGCUGCCCCGGGGUUCUGUCCACCGGGGAGGAAAGCCACGAGCACUGAGCGCCUCCUGAGAGCCAGCCCUGACGUGAACUCAUUUUAUCUGCCACGACCCAGAAGGAGUCUACUGCUAAGAUUUCAGCAUGUCCUGUGGCUGAGUUAAUCAGAGUUAUGACAGGAAGGUACCGGGCACACCAUCGCAGUGCUCCAUCAAUGCUAGUAUGUUGUGUUCUUUCCUUCAUAUCAAGUCAACUCAAGCUUGCUCUACUUACCUGGUGUACACAGUCUAAGAACUGUAAGAAGACUGGAGCAAAACCACUCCCCUGACAGUUGAGGGUCAAGCUGCUCCUCUGACUGAAUUUGUGACCAAAAGAGAGCCACUCUUUUUCAACCAACAUCCGGAAGCCUUCAAGUGUCCUAUAAAAGGGAUCACUGAGUAACUGAACCAGGGAUGUCACCUAGGGCAUAAGCAGGAUGGAUUGUCAUUAAUUUUAGUUCUGAAAAAGUCCUAUUACUAAGAUAAAAACACUUCCUUCUGAUGAUAGCUAAUUCACAAAUUUACCUGGACAGCAAAUUUGUUCACUAACCAUUCCAGGAUGGCCAAUAAAAUUAAUUUUGUAAACUUGCCAGUAAAAACUAAAGCUCAAAUUCAUUUUGGCUACAGGUUUACUUUCAGGGAAUUAAGACUUUAAUCCUUAACUGGCCAGUUUGCUGACAGCAACCUUUUCCUAAGUUAAUCAGAGGCCAGAGGAUCAGUUAAAA